rnacentral:ncRNA from 1 species
AAAUUAUACGAAGGGACCCAACACAGAAAAUUCAUUUUAUUGAAUUUUACAUUUAUGUGCAAGUUGGGCAAAGUGUCUUAUCAACAAAGGGUGAAUAACUUGUGGAUAAAAG